UGUGUCAGAUUUUAUGUAAUUUUGGUUUUCUUUAGUAGAUAAUGUAUACUUAAUAAACAUACACAAAUAUUUAUGAUCAUAUAUUGGUUGGACAGAAGACUAAGAAGGAAAUGCAUAGUUUUCAGCGUAUUACUAUGGUUAUCCAUUACCAGGAGCAUGCAUGGAAGCGCAAUGUUACUCGUGAAGCAAAAGCAACGUGAUUUUUGCCCCAGCUGGUUCUGUAUCAAACAAACGCUGCUGGCAGCAGUAAUAAUGACGUGAACAUAAAACCUUCUUUGUCUAACAUUCCUGACAAAUGCUUGAUUGUCCAGGAGAAGCCAUUUGUAUUUUUCUGAAAUCUUGCAGGAUGCCGUGUCACUAUUUUUCAUGAAGAAUUGUCUUUGCCGGGUGUAGGUGUUCUCUAACGCAUGUCUCCAAGGGCUGAUUUCUCUACAGAUAAUCAGCACACGGAUCCUCCGAACCAGCAAAGCAGCGUUGACUCCUCAAACCAACGACACGCCUGCGGGCUCUGGGGAACUUGAAAGAAAAUGAUUUCUACUGGAAAAGACUGCUUGAAAUCAGAAGAGACAACCUUACCUUAGCACGUCAGACUUAUGCAUGAUGAAGAAAGUUACGGUCAUCGCACAUUUGAGCCCUAGUGUAUGAAUUCUGCCUUGGAGUAACAUUCUCAAAAUCCUAUGUUACUGAUUGAUCUGUGAUCUAUUAUUGCUUUCCGUGAGAAAAAAAAUACUGCCAGCUGCCCCCAAAAUUGCCAUAUUCAGGAGAAUGUGGCUGGGGCCUGUGUGACUGUUCCUGAAGGUGUUGCAUUAGAAGGCCACGGCCAUGAUCACUUCCUUGAUGGCAUCCUACACUGAUUGUGUUCCCAGGCUCAUUAUGGAUUGCUAGACAUGGCAGGCUUCUGACUCAUUUGUAACCAACAGAAUGUGGCUAAAGUGACUCUGUGUGACUUCCAAGGCUUGGACAGAAAAGCAUAAUUACUCCCAAGGAAAAGCGUGGACUGCUCAGAAAGUGACACUUCUAAAGCUGGACCGUGUGGCAUAACUGGGACUGGCUUGGGGCUGAGGAAUCGUUAGGCAAGUCAUGGCCUCUCAAGGGCAGAGUUUCCAGCUUUCUCUUUCACGCAGUAAAAAGUAUCGGCUACAGGAGGAGUAUUGAACUCGAAGCUCUGUAAAUCUUGCCAAAUUUCAGUCCGUAACUGAUUUGCUAAUAGUGCUCUUCAUCUCAAAACCCUCACUCGAUAUUGAUGACCAAAUGCUUCUGUGUCUCUCCAAAAAGCCUUGAACUUGCUUCUUGAUUGGCCUUAUUUGAGGAAACAUUUGAGUGAGAAGAUGUCUCAGUGUCUUCCCAAUCCUGAUUUUGUUAUAUCUUCACCACAUAAAUUAUCCAAACACGAAGACUGAAAUGCGUUGCUAAGCUCUUUAUCAGAUUUGGGGAAAUCACAACAAUUGUAAAGGCAGUUUGAGCUGCUGCAGAACGUUCAUUGUGAAAUCUCUUAAAGAGACGUUGCACAGACGCAAAGAGAGGCUCAACAACUAAAGAAGCAUGCGAUCUGCCCAGGAGGGCGCGAAGACCACGCCGCCUGGGACAUGAAUUAGAGAAAAUAAGAAUGGGAGUCCUGAGGUUCACAGGAACCACGGGUUUCUGGAUGGAUUGUCAGAAGCGUAAAUGUGGUCUGAAGAUGUCCAAUCUAUUUCUGGUGUGAGCUGUCACACUGCAAAUUCACCAAAGGGUGUAGGAAUGAUUUCACACAACAGUUCACUCGGUGAUUUACGUGAGUGAGGCCGUGGGAUCAUAUGACGUUGGUGAGCCAAUAGACAACAGCCCUGCUUUCCUCUGACAAUCAACCAACACUGCGAGAUGACAGCAGCCAAUAUGACUGAGAACGGCGAAGGCAUAAUAACAUUUACAUUGAUGUUUUCAGCCGCAAUUGCUACAUACUUUUUCUCUGCUGUUGCGAAGAUGCGAUAUGUUCAUUGUACAAUAAAUCCCCCCAGCCUUCAUUCUUUAAGGCUUUCUAACCCAAAUUUGAUAAUUUCACAGCAGCGUUGUGGUUUGCUAUUACUCGAAAAAUGGAAUCAAUAUCUAUCUCAUAUAUAUGGUUUUUCAGGGAUCAUUGUUUCUAUUUCUUGAAUGCCAGUACCAUUUAAUCAAAAGGCGAAGUUCAAGAAAAGGCAAGAUUAUAUUGUCCUGAAUGUUAAACAAUAUUCUGCAUGCAUUAGACAUUGAUAAAUUUUCAAGGAACAUCUAGUGGCUAAUCCCUGUUCCUUUAAGAUAAAAGAUUCAGCAGUUACACACACCCAACUCUUAUAUCCGGACCAGAAAAAGACGAUAAUUUCGCAAGAUUGAAUCAGCUCUUUAGACACACACUACCAUGUUCUUGAGGGAGAAAGAGAAAAUAAAGGUUAAAAUGAAAAGAACGAAUUACAGUCUAAUUUUUGUUUAUCUUUAACACUUAUAAAGAUGUAACUCUUUCUUAGACCUUGGUGUAUUUUUUAAAUAAAGCUGUCAAAAACAACCCUCACAACCCAAAAAUGACAACCGCGGAAUUUUAAAGGCUGAUUGGUUAUAGUGCGGAGAAAGUAAUAGAAACAGCUAUCCAUGAUGCACACAGAGGACCGGCUUGCUAAGAUUCCUCUCCAGGGAUGGAUAAAGUUUGUCUGCCUUUUCUUACUCCUCAUUUGGACAGCAAGUCUGGGGGAGACGAUGUGGUGUAACAGAACUGUCAUUAUAGCCCAAAGCAGGGCACCCAGCUUUAAUCUCGGCCGAUUGAUAACUAUCUUUCUUCCUUGAAAGCAUUGCUCCACUUUUCGGACCCCAUGUCUUUAUCUGUAAAUGAGCAAUUCUAGGAAAAUUCCAGGAAUCUCGCCACUAACACCUAUAGGGAAAGUGGUCUUCUCUUUCAAGCUGGAGGAAAUUUGAGAGAGCAGAUAGCCACCGAGUGUAGAAGAUCUGAGUUCUUUCUAGUGCAGAGUAGAAAAGAAACAGGAAAGGAUGCUGGUGUUCAAGGGCUUUCAACUGUGAGAAGGGUGUGGACCACGCAGCCCUCCAGGGAGGCAAGAGAAGACUCAGCAUUGUCUGAAAAUUAUGACUGCUGGAUCCAGAGAGUGGGACUGUCUGUCGCACUCAUCCUGUAUUCCCAGAGCCUCACACGGUGCCUGGCACGCAGUAGGCGUCUGACACAGAUUUACUGGAAAGCGAAUAAAUGUUAAGCCUCAGGGUACCUUCCAUUUGCAUUCUAAGAUAUGUUCACUUUUAUACCUAACUCAGUAUUUGCAGUUUUAUGUUCUUUCUCAUAAGAUGGUCUCCCAAAUCCUAUAAACUUCAGGCCCCACAAACCUCUAUCUGCCUCUUAUAGACAUGCAAUAAAUGUUUGUUUACCUAACGAGAAAAAAAGAAAGGUGCGAGGGUAAGGAAGGGGAGGAAGAAAACCCAAACCUCCCCGAAACAGUGGCAACUAGGAGGAUCAAAUUCAACCUCGAUGAGUCAGAGGCAGCAUUCCCAAACUGUUGCCAGACAGUAACAGGCAAUGAUUUACCUCAAUUAAUUCAGCCAGUUAAAAGCUUAGUUCUUAAUUGCCAACAGGAGGCUGAAAGGCAAAUGUGUUAGACUGUCUUCCUAUUCCGAGCGAUUGCAGUAGGGGCUGAAGCAUCUCUGGAGUGAGGGGAGGUGAGUAUGGAGGGGCUUUGCGUCUGGCACCAUGCUAGGUGCUUUCACAUACCUUUGUUAUUGUUAGUGCUGUGGGAUUGGUUCUGGCUCCCAGCAACCCUGUGGACAGCAGAGCGGAACCCUGCCUGGUCUUUUUGUGCCGUCCGCUCACCUUCUGGUGCUGUAUCAGACAAUGCUCCGCUGCUGUUCACAGGGGUUUCAUGGCCAAUUUUUUCACCACUGUUUUUGGAAAUGGAUGGCCAGGUCCUUCUUCCUAUUCUGUCUAGUCUGGAAGCUCCUGUCCACCGUGGGUGACCCUGCUGGGAUUUGGAAUACCGGUGACAUAACUUUCAGCAUCACAGCACCACACAGCCACCACAGUGUGACAACUGACACACAGGUGGUAUAGUUCCUGGACUGGGAAACGAACCCAGACUGUAGUGGUGAGAGCGUCGGAUCUUAAAACUAGACCACCAGGGCUGGCUCUCAUCCCUUACCUUAGCAAAUUUAUUGUUCUCAUUUCAUAGAUGAGGAAACUGAAGUUCAGAGAGGUGAAAUAAUUUUCCUUAAAGUCAUGCAACUAGUUAAGUGGUCAAGUUGGGAUUUGAACCUUGAUCUGUUGAGACUAAAAUCUUAUAUAUGUUCUUCACUACUCCAUGUUAUUCCACAGUGAGAAAAUAGAGGGUCCUUUUAGUGGGUUGUAAAAAUCUAAAUAAGAAAUAAAGGCACAAAGGAGAACAGUAGAGAACUGAUGUGAACAGGAUUAAUGGAUGUUGAUAUCGAUUUAUUACCUGAUUACUUUAUGACCUGUGGCAUCUUUGUUCUGCUGCUUACUGGGACAAGACCCAUAUAAUUCAGUGUAGACUGGGAAGAAUCUGUGCAUUGGGGACAUAGGAACUUCAGGAAUCAGUGAAUUUAGAGGAGUGAUUUGAAACAGAGGCUGUAGAUGGUUCAAAGACCAAAUCUGAGGAAAUUUCUAAUCAGAGGAAUCAAAAAAGAUGCUGAGACCGAGGGGAUAAACAAGAACCUUUCUGUGGAUUAAAUUUCUUUAUAGUUCUGCAGAACUCUUGGUUAUUCAUUCCUGGAGUGGGCUGCCCUCCGAGAAGUCAGUGUUUUGGGCACUGCAAUGCGUGUAAAGCUGUGUUAGUUUAUGGAUCAUCCAAAAGAAACACACGCCUUAAUCCCUGCUCUUGAGACCUCACAGGACAGUUGGGGGUCAAGAUACAGCCCCAGAACACAGGUGAUAGAAUCAUCUGCCAUGAUAGAGGGUAAAUUAUGAGAAAAGGGUAGGAAAUAAGGCAAAAAUAUUAUACACGACUAAUUUUGUGGAUUUCCUGACAUUUUUUAGAGCCUCACAGUUUAGAAUAUGGUUUUAUGUGCACCCUCAAGACAAUCUUGUGACAUAGGCAGGGAAGGUAUUAUUAUUCUCGUUAUGUAGAGGAGUAAGGAAAGGAAGGCUCAGAAAGGUGAAGUGAAUUGCCUAAGGCCACUCAGCUGGUGAGCGGUAGAGCUGGGAGUCAAGCUUAUUUCCUUGGAUUCCCAGGCCAGUGCUCUUUUUGUCAGACAGUAAUCCUUUACAGUCAUAUUUACUGGGCGCCAUCUUCAUUACCCAAUGCAUUUUAAACAAAGUGGCAAAUUUUCUAUUCACUGAAUUGGCACCUAGUGCACUACUUUGACUCAAUAUUUAAAAAUGUGAGAGUAGAAGUCUAGGAAUUUGGAACUGGGCUAAAAAUAUAUUUGGACACAUCCUAGGAGUUGACAACUGGUGUGCUGGUAAAAUGGCGGAUGGGCGGGUGGGGAGUCUGCUUUGUAGCAUUUGCUGAUUUCCAUAGUGUAAAUACGCCACCACAGCCGAUUUUAAACUACCAACAGUUUAAGGACUAGUUUAGGAAAAUCUUGAAUAUCUAACAAAGCGCUCUUAGUUGGUAAGAAGCUAGCACAUUGCUGGCAGUUGUCUCCUCAGUCUUUUUCACUCUUAUUUUUCGUGCUCAGAAGCAUCUUGAGAGAAAAUUUUGGACCGAACUUGAAAAUCUUGAGUCUUGUGCUGGGGUUCUGCCUUCCUCUCUUUACUUGUGCCCGUCCAUUAGAAUAUGAAUUCCGAUUCUGUAUCUCAUUGAUUUUUUAAAAGUAGCUUGACUUUAUCUGUCUGACAUUCACAAGCUGACUAUGUUAUUGAUAAUUACUUCCCCUUUUUAAUUCUUAAAGAGCAAUGUAUAUCCUGGUGGAUCUGAAAAUCAGACUUCCAGGGCCGAUAAGAAAGACCUGCUUUCAUUUAAAUAUUCUUCCUUCCCUGAUGGUCUGCAACAUUCCUAUAUGAAACUAAUCUAUUUAAGAUCUCCACCUUUGCUGAAUUUAGUGCAGUUCAAUGUUAAUGAACGUCUAAUUCUGAGUUUCUGACGUUUUGCUAUUCCUUCUCUUCCUGGCACUCCUUUACCAUGACUGAGUCAAAAGAUCUGCUCUAUUCACGUUGCUCUGAAAAUCUGAGGAGCAAGGUAUCCAUUCAGUUUUAUUUCUCCCUGGUGGGUGCAGUUCUCAUCGGAUACUAAUGAGAAUUACAAAUGUGGGUAAAGGAGAAACCAGUGCCUUCAGAAUUGAGGGGCUGGUUAUUUAAAGAUGUAUUGCCAUGGCACUUAAGGAAAAUGAUUUAUCUGUUUUGUUUUGUCCUCCUAUAAAUCAAGAAUACAGCACAGCGUUAAACAUUCCUCAAUAUUUAUGCUAAUAUAUAUUUGGGUUUACAUACUUGACACUAAUUCAGGAGGAACAGUGGUAUUAGAGUAAUGGCUACCUGUGACAGCCUCGGCGGUACUGAACAGCCGCCUUAACUCUUUAUUAGACUGUGGGUGCCCCUGCGCAGAGCAGACACGGCAAUGAUUCCCUGCCAGGAGCAGACUCCCCGCUGCUGCUACUGUAAUUAGCUUCAUGCUGACCGAAUGUGACAGGACCUCACCUCAGCUACACCACGGAUCUCUUGCUUCCUGCCUGAGGCCCCUCUGACAUCACGGUUGAGAGAGAUGCCUAUGGAAACCCACUCACACAUGCAACCUGGAAGUGUGGAAGGUGAACUUCUAAGAAUUUGGAUGACACAGCUGAUUGUCAGGGACGUGGCAGGUAGAGAGGAAGCGACAGGUUCUAAGGCUCAUGACACUCAACAUCGUUCUCCCUGCACGGUGCUUACACAACUUUGCCCAGAUCACGGAAGUCCUCUGCAUCUGAGCUGAAUUAUACUUGACACAGACCGUGUCUAGGAAGUUUUUGAAGAUCACUGAGAAAAGGUGCCACCAAAAAUUUAAAAACAGUUAGUUAACUCUUAUUAUUUGGGUCUCUGGAAUAGAAUGAAAGUGCAGAUAAUUGAAACAAAAACUUUGAAUGUUUAGAAAUAUUUUAGUUCUGUUCUGUUUCAUAAUGUAUGACCUAUUCUCAAAAUUACAUUAUAUUUGAUUUUUACUCUGGAAGUUUUGAAAUGGCUUUUGGCCAAAAGCAUUAAAAUUCGGACCCAAUAAUCUAAAACAGCAGAUCGUUCGGGAAGUAUUUAUGUUGAGCUUUGUGAAACGUUACAGAAUAUUUCUGGUAGUAGAUCUAUCUUUUGUAAAUAUGUUUUAUUUAGGAAAACGUUAAAAUUAGUUUUUCUUUCUUGAAUACAAAUCACUAAUAGUGGGUGGGUAGAGGAAGUCAGUUUUAAAUUAAAAAUUUGUCUUAGAUAAUCCAUGGAGCCAAGACUUUGCACAUGGAUGUUACAGAGUUAUUCGUAUUCUAAAUUUCAAACACAUUUGUUAUCCAGAAACUUUUCAGGUGCUUAGCAAAGUAGAGGCUUUUCUAGAUUUAGCAUUUUUAAGGCAUUAAGAAAAUACUCAAAAUUUAGAGAGAUAUUUUCAGACCGUUAAAGAUACUUAUUAUCAAUAAGAAAAACAAAUAGAAAAGAACUCAUUUUGUUAUUCAUUUCUUCAUACUUGAUUCCCUCCCCUCUUCCCUUCUUGAAAUUACAGCUGGUAAACAGAUGGCAGGCACAAAAGUUACACAAAUAAGAGACACACACACACACAUCCUCUUAAUGGGGGGCCCUGUUUGUUGGGGUGUCCAGUGAGGACUCCUGGCUGAGGGGGCCCCAGUUAUCCGUUCUCAGUCAGAGCUACCAUGGAGAGGGAAGGGUUUUGGGAUAUAUUAGCUCUGCAUGUGUGUCUCACAGCAAAAGACCUUGGUAAGUCACAUAUCCUAAGUCCCAACAUUGUGGAGCCUUCUCUCCAUUCCUAUGUUCUUGAGAUUUUCCCUCAAGUCCCUGGGAGGCAGAAAUGCUUCAGAGGCGUUUUGAGCAGGAGCAUGACACGAUCAAAUUCAAAAGACUGUUCUGGCUGCAGUGAGGAGAAUGGACUUUGCAG
rnacentral:lncRNA from 1 species